CCUACGGGAGGCAGCAGUGAGGAAUAUUGGUCAAUGGGCGGAAGCCUGAACCAGCCAAGUAGCGUGCGGGAUGAAGGCCCUACGGGUCGUAAACCGCUUUUGCACGGGGAUAACACCCGCCACUUGUGGAGGUCUGCAGGUACCGUGCGAAUAAGGGCCGGCUAAUUCCGUGCCAGCAGCCGCGGUAAUACGGAGGAUCCGAGCGUUAUCCGGAUUUAUUGGGUUUAAAGGGAGCGUAGGUGGAUUGUUAAGUCAGUGGUGAAAGUUUGCGGCUCAACCGUAAAAUUGCAGUUGAAACUGGCAGUCUUGCGUACAGUCGCGGUGUGCUGUAUUCGUGGUGUAGCGG
rnacentral:rRNA from 1 species